rnacentral:rRNA from 1 species
GGCGGAGGAUGCAAGCGUUAUCCGGAAUGAUUGGGCGUAAAGCGUCCGCAGGUGGCAGUUCAAGUCUGCUGUCAAAGACCGGGGCUUAACUUCGGAAAGGCAGUGGAAACUGAACAGCUAGAGUAUGGUAGGGGCAGAGGGAAUUCCUGGUGUAGCGGUGAAAUGCGUAGAGAUCAGGAAGAACAUCGGUGGCGAAGGCGCUCUGCUGGACCAUAACUGACACUCAGGGACGAAAGCUAGGGGAGCGAAUGGG